rnacentral:rRNA from 1 species
CGAGCUAACCCGUAAGGGAGGCAGCGACCUAAGGUAGGGUCAGCGAUUGGGGUGAAGUCGUAACAAGGUAGCCGUAGGAGAACCUGCGGCUGGAUCACCUCCUUUCUAUGGAGA